rnacentral:rRNA from 1 species
UACGUAGGGGGCAAGCGUUGUCCGGAUUUAUUGGGCGUAAAGAGCGUGUAGGCGGCCAGGUAGGUCCGUUGUGAAAACUGGAGGCUUAACCUCCAGCUUGUCGAUGGAAACCAUCUGGCUAGAGUCCGGAAGAGGAGAGUGGAAUUCCUGGUGUAGCGGUGAAAUGCGCAGAGUAUCAGGAAGAACACCCGUGGCGAAGGCGGCUCUCUGGGACGGUACUGACGCUGAGGAGCGAAAAGCGUGGGGGAGCGAACAGG